AUUGAACGUUGGCGGCAGGCCUAAAACAUGCAAGUCGAACGGUAACAGCGGAAGCUUGCUUCCGGCUGACGAGUGGCGGACGGGUGAGUAAUACGCAGGAGUCUGCCCAGUAGUGGGGGACAACCCGGGGAAACCCGGGCUAAUACCGCAUACGCUCUACGGAGGAAAGCGGGGGAUCUUCGGACCUCGCGCUAUCGGAGGAGCCUGCGUCGGAGUAGCUAGUUGGUGGGGUAAAGGCCUACCAAGGCGACGAUCCGUAGCUGGUCUGAGAGGACGAUCAGCCACACUGGAACUGAGACACGGUCCAGACUCCUACGGGAGGCAGCAGUUAGGAAUCUUGGGCAAUGGGCGCAAGCCUGACCCAGCCAUGCCGCGUGUGUGAAGAAGGCCUUCGGGUUGUAAAGCACUUUCAGUGGUGAAGAAAAGCUCGGGGCGAAUAUCCCCGAGUUUUGACGUUAUCCACAGAAGAAGCACCGGCUAACUCCGUGCCAGCCGCCGCCGUAACAC
rnacentral:rRNA from 1 species